GAUGAACGCUGGCGGCGUGCCUAAUACAUGCAAGUCGAGCGAACAGACGAGGAGCUUGCUCCUCUGACGUUAGCGGCGGACGGGUGAGUAACACGUGGAUAACCUACCUAUAAGACUGGGAUAACUUCGGGAAACCGGAGCUAAUACCGGAUAAUAUAUUGAACCGCAUUGUUCAAUAGUUAAAGACGGUUUUGCUGUCACUUAUAGAUGGAUCCGCGCCGCAUUAGCUAGUUGGUAAGGUAACGGCUUACCAAGGCAACGAUGCGUAGCCGACCUGAGAGGGUGAUCGGCCACACUGGAACUGAGACACGGUCCAGACUCCUACGGGAGGCAGCAGUAGGGAAUCUUCCGCAAUGGGCGAAAGCUUGACGGAGCAACGCCGCGUGAGUGAUGAAGGUCUUCGGAUCGUAAAACUCUGUUAUUAGGGAAGAACAAAUGUGUAAGUAACUAUGCACGUCUUGACGGUACCUAAUCAGAAAGCCACGGCUAACUACGUG
rnacentral:rRNA from 1 species